rnacentral:rRNA from 1 species
UACAGAGGUCUCAAGCGUUGUUCGGAUUCAUUGGGCGUAAAGGGUGCGUAGGUGGCGCCAUAAGUCGGGUGUGAAAUCUCGGGGCUUAACUCCGAAACUGCAUUCGAUACUGCGGUGCUUGAGGACUGGAGAGGAGACUGGAAUUCAUGGUGUAGCAGUGAAAUGCGUAGAGAUCAUGAGGAAGACCAGUGGCGAAGGCGGGUCUCUGGACAGUUCCUGACACUGAGACACGAAGGCCAGGGGAGCAAACGGG